CAGGAGUAAUUUAUAUUUCUUGUUGCCAUGUUUAUUUACAGUACUUAUACCAGUCCAUUUUUUCUUCAGUUUGAGCUGCAAGUUGAAGCAGGAAAAUGGUGUCAAGUGUCAAGGCAAGCCAAAGAAGCAGUACUGGAUUUCCCCCAGAAACUUUGAGCUGCAAGUUGAAGCAGGAAAAUGGUGUCAAGGCAAGCCAAAGAAGCAUGCAGUACUGGAUUUCCCCCAGAAAAGUAUGAAGAAUGUCUGUGAAAAAAGUGACUCUGUUCAUUAAUUUUGUAGUAUUUAAAGUGAAGAAAGAACAUAAAAAAUUUAAUCAUUGGAAUUGAUACUUUUUGUGGGGGUGGGAAUCUGUUUCCUUUGUAGUCCAGUUCCUUCCAAUCAGUCCUAACCCCAUUUCAUCUUGACCCGGCCCAUCCCAUUUCUGAUUUGUAAUCCAGAUAUGAAUGUACAAAUAAUAUAUAUCAUAUUUGAAUUAAAAUAUUAAUAUAGAGCAUGGCCACAAAAUAAGCAGAAAGAUGUGUAUAGGUGAAUUUAAUAUGAAAUAUGUUAGUAUGAAAAUAUGUCUUAUGCAUGCAAUUGUCACAUACAAUAGUAACACUUCAUAAGAAUUGAUAAAAGUACACUUCUUUGUAAGUAAAUAUAUGUAUCUGAUAGAAAAGGUUGAAAACAUGAGUUUUUGGAGAUGUUCAUAAUAUUGUUAUGGAUUCAGUCUAUUAUCUUAUAUGGAAUAGUUAUUGAAUCUGGAACCACUCUUGUGUAGAGCAUGGGAACAAAAUAAGCAGUGUAUGGAUUUGUAUAAAUUAAUUCAAUAUGAAAUAAUUGUUCAUGUGAAAAUAUGUCUUAUUAAUGCAAUGAACAUUAAAUUUUGCUAUAGUUAAACUUGAUUAGAAGUGGUAAAAGUACAUUUCUUUGUAAAAAUGUAUAUAUGAUAGAAAAGGUCAAUAGACUGCCAAUGACAACUAUGUCCCAUUCAUAUGUAUUGUCAGCGAUUGAUUGGACUUUAUUAUAAAGCAGAAAAGGAAUAUAAAAGUGCAGUAGAAAGGAUUUAAUAUGAAGCCAGGAAAGAUCAUCCAAAUAUUAUAAAAAGUGACAUAAUUAAAAAUGUUAGUUAUUAGAAUUGAUACUUUUGCGGGGGUGGGAAUCUCUGUCCUGUCAUACCAUUUAUUCCGAUUCAUCCUAUCCAAUUCCAACUUGUCCCUGCCCAUCCCAUUUCUGAUUGGUUACCCAGAUAUGAUUGUAUAAAUAAUACAUAAUAUAGCAUACUUGAAUUAAAAUAUUAAUGUGGAGCAUGGCCAA
rnacentral:lncRNA from 1 species